CCUACGGGUGGCAGCAGUGGGGAAUAUUGCACAAUGGGGGAAACCCUGAUGCAGCGACGCCGCGUGAGUGAAGACGUAAUUCGUUAUUUAAAGCUCUAUUUGCAAGGUAGAAAAUGACUGUACCUGUGUAAUUAGCUCCAGUUAACUACGCGCCAGCAUCGGCUGGAUAUCGUAGGGGACCAGCGUUAUUCGGAUUUAUUGGGUGUAAAGGGAGCUUAGACGGCAGUGCAAGUCUAGUGGGAAAGGCGGGGGCUCAACCCCCGGAGUGCUCUGGAAACUGUACGGCUGGAGUGGAGGAGAGGUAAGUGGAAUGCGUGGUGUAGCGGUGAAAUGCGUAGAUAUUAGGAGGAACACCAGUGGCGAAGGCAGCUUACUGGCGUCUAACUGACGUUGAGGCUCGAAAGCGUGGGGAGCAAACAGGAUUAGAUACCCCUGUAGUC
rnacentral:rRNA from 1 species